UAUUGUUAGUUGCCAUCAUUCAGUUGGGCACUCUAGCGAGACUGCCGGUAAUAAACCGGAGGAAGGUGGGGAUGACGUCAAAUCAUCAUGCCCCUUAUGACCUGGGCUACACACGUGCUACAAUGGUUGGUACAACGAGUUGCGAGUCGGUGACGGCGAGCUAAUCUCUUAAAGCCAAUCUCAGUUCGGAUUGUAGGCUGCAACUCGCCUACAUGAAGUCGGAAUCGCUAGUAAUCGCGGAUCAGCACGCCGCGGUGAAUAUGUCCCUGCUCCUU
rnacentral:rRNA from 1 species